UGCUAAAUAGAUCGUGGUGCGGUCGCCGUACGUCUAAAGUGUCCGGUUUAUGGACGUUCCCGAGGAAAAAUAGCAGUCACGACGCGGCAGCGUGGUGACCGGUAGUCGCUCACGCGCGAAAUGACGUUAACAAGUUGAUUCCCCGGCGUAAUAACUUAAAACGUUUAGGAUUUCGAUUUUUCAACCGUUCUCUGAACGUAGAUUGUCUUGCUUUCGUGCAGCCUUUCACUUUGCCAGUUCAGCCGUGCUUUAUAGCUCGCGUCUGUUUUCAUUUGCUUCUCCUCCUUCUUCUCCUACACGUUUCGCAGCCCAACUCCGCGUGAUUCGCGUUUUUCUUGCAAUCCCAAGUUACCGCUUUGCACGAAACGUUUCGGCCUCGGUAUCGGGUCAAUUGCGAACGAUCCAGACGAUUUCGAGCAACAGCCGCCAUUACAGAUGGUGUUGAAACGGAAGGGUUACCUUCAGUUUUUGCAAUUUUUCAAAUCAUCGUGCCCGAAGACGGUCGCUGUAAUUCAACUUGUCAACGAAACGCGAUUACCAAAGAUGGAGCAUCGCGCUGGUGGGAUGGAAAAAGAAUAGAAAAAAGAAGGAAAGAUUUUUCGCUGGUAUCUGAACGCGCAUCGACGAGCUGCCAACAAUUAAUCCGGACGGACAACGGCGUGGAACGGGACCGUAACUCUAUACCCAUAGGACCCCCAAGUUCGAGCUUAAAGAUGAAGCAAGGAAAGGGGUGGAGAGAAACUAGGUUCUGAUCUCAUAUCAUAUUUCGUGUUAUUCAAAUGCCAACAAUGCCAUUAAAGGAUUUCUCUGGUAAUCCCCUGGCCGCAGUUGGCGAGAGAACCCGAUGGUGCACGGCGAAAACACCAACAGGCACAAAGAGAGUCGGUUGUUCCUACGCAGGGACACGAAACGGCCGCAAACAUCCACGGGACAAUGCAACAACCGGCUCUAUCUGCGCGUUUUGUUCUUCCCGAUCUAGCUAACCCAACUCGUUCCCUUUCGUUCUUUCAUAUUGGACCAAUUUCCUUCCGUCAAGGAAACGCGACGAAGAAUGGUUAUUCUUCCAUUUUUGAUAAAGAUGGAAACUCCUGGAUAAACUGUUUACUAAGUUUUUGCCUGGUAUUCUGUUUACAAGCAUCCUGAAAACGUUGUUCACGACGACCAUCAGGAGUUCAAUCGAAGUUUACACGAUCGAUCAAGGGACGACUAUCCUUUGAGUAAAGAAAAGAGAUUUUGGAGAGAAGAAAAACAGGGUGGUGCUUUGAUUCGAAAACGAACCUGAUGCUCUGUUGGAGUCUCUAAAACGAAGAGGAAAUCGGGAUCAGAUGGGGGAUGAAGUCAUCACUGGUGGAGCGAAACAGCGACCCCUGCUAGGGCCGUUCGCUUGGAAACAAUCACAUUACACUUUGCGAGAGGAGACGGGCCAGGGGUCAUUAAGUCCGGUAUUAUAAAUGCAUUAAAUACUCCGAGACGAUGGGAUGAGUCAGAACGUGCAGCGUGCAGCAACAGGGAAGCCGGAUUUCAGGAGGGUGGCAGGUGGCGCCAAUUUUACGGACCGACGGCUGUGACGGAUGUAACGAGACGCAGUUCUACGCGAAACGCGUUCGUCACACGUGGUCGCUUCGAUGGACACGAUGCCAUGGAUGGUUUUAUGGGAAACGCGAGGGAUGCUCCGUCCAACCGAUCAAAAAUCAUCCCCUUAAUCUGACGACUCGACGGAGAAACCUUUACCAGUGACUUGCAAUCAUUCUGAACGAAUAAUCACUAAAAUAUA